CGAUGUGGUGUGAGGUGCGAGGGCCAGAGGUGUGAUGUCACAGGGCCGAUCUGAUCACUCACACCACAUUCAGAGGUGGCCUAGGAGGCAUAUGGAGAGAACUGCAGAAUUGCAUCACUGGAUAAAGAUUAGCAGCUUAGAAGUUUUGUUAGUUGAUCGUGCAAAAAAAAAAUAAGAAAGAAAAAAAAUGAAAACCCAUCACAAGUGAGCACUGUAAUUACAUUCAUAAUGCCAGAUGUGAUCUUAACACCCAGGAAGCAUGUUAGCGGUGGGCGUGAAUGUGGCCUAUUUGGAUCCUAUCCUCAGCAGCUCACCCCGAGCACUCACCUGAUUAUUAUUAUUAACACCUGCAGCUUGUUUCCAAGCUAAACAAGGUCUCUAUUUUAGCACUCAGUCUUUAGCAUUCAGUCAGAAAAUAUAUUACGCAAUAAAUACAAUCUCACAACCAGCGUUUCUGGGCCACACAUACAUGUGCCAAGAAUGAACACACCAGUUCACACUUAGGAACAAUUGUCCACUUAGUGUAGACAAUUCUCCAACCACCAUAUUUUUUGGAACAUGGGAUGGAACCUAGAGAACACAUGUGGUCAUGAGAGAAGAUGUAAAACUCCACACCUGAGCUCUGGACUAAACCAGGGUCUGUGAAGAUGUGAGCUGGAAGCACCCCAUCCUGUGGGGGAAAAAAUCCUGUAUCCCUGACUCUGGACCCUUCUGCCAAUGCCCCACCAGCCUGGAGGAUGUCAGAGGUUCCACUGCUGAAACCUUUCACAUUUUUAAUUGGGAGUCAUUCAGUAUUUUAUUGACUGGGAGCCGUAUGGCACCAUCACCCAUGUUGGUUUACAGCCUUGCUGACCUCAGAUUAUUAUUCAGACUGUCUUGACCCUUGCAGAUCACUGGGGCUGUGCAUUAAGGGGAAAUACUGACGUAGAUAAUGAUAAUAGACAACAGCAGAUAAUUUUAAAUAUGUUCUAUACAGUCAGAUUGUUAUACAGUUGCUAUGUAAAAUGUUGCUGUUCAGGUCAUUGAGACAAAUGUUUAAAGUGUCAAACUGCAGCCUUUCAUCAUUGAUGAACUCACUGAAAAUUUGCAAUUCCUAUCUCUUUUAUCUUUGAGAAAAUAAGUACUAAACUUUUUUUUAUUCUAGAAAGGAUAUCUUUUUACAGCAGUACUAAUUAUAAUGUAUAUGGAUGUGUGUGUGUGUGUGUGUGUGUGUGUGUGUGUGUGUGUGUGUGUGUGUGUGUGUGUGUGUGUGUGUAUAUAUAUAUGUAAUGGUGAAAAUUGUUUUUGUACAUGGUCUAUACAGUAUUUUUAGAGAAUAUGGAAUUGCGUUAAUAUUUAAUCAAAGCCGCAAAUUCAACAAUAAAAUCCGUGUACAGCUAA